GAUGAAGAACGUAGCGAACUGCGAUAAGUAAUGUGAAUUGCAGAAUUCAGUGAAUCAUCGAGUCUUUGAACGCACAUUGCGCCCCCUGGCAUUCCGGGGGGCAUGCCUGUCCGAGCGUCAUUGCUGCCCUUCAAGCCCGGCUUGUGUGUUGGGUCGUCGUCCCCCCCGGGGGACGGGCCCGAAAGGCAGCGGCGGCACCGCGUCCGGUCCUCGAGCGUAUGGGGCUUUGUCACCCGCUCGAUUAGGGCCGGCCGGGCGCCAGCCGGCGUCUCCAACCUUCUAUUUUACCAGGUUGACCUCGGAUCAGGUGGGGAUACCCGCUGAACUUAAGCAUAUCAAUAAGCGGAGGA
rnacentral:misc_RNA from 1 species